AUAGAGCUCAAGCUUGAGAAGAGAGAGCCACUGAAGGGCAGAGCAAAGACUCCAGUAACACUCAAGCAAAGAAGAAUUGAGCAUAAUCAGAUGGGAGAGAAAACAGAGGAAAGACGAGUGGAAAGGGAUAUUCUUAAGGAAAUGUUCCCCUAUGAAGCAUCUACUCCAACAGGAAUCAGUGCCAGCUGCCGCAGACCAAUCAAGGGGGCUGCCGGCCGGCCGCUAGAGCUCAGUGACUUCCGGAUGGAAGAGUCGUUCUCGUCGAAGUAUGUCCCCAAGCAUGCUGCCCCCUUGGCAGGUGUCAAGUCGGAGAAGACGCAGAAGGGACGCUCCAUUCCCAUGUGGAUAAAAGUGUUGCUCUUUGUCGUUGUAGCAGUUUUUUUGUUUUUUUGUUUUUGGUCUAUCAAGCUAUGGAGACCAACCAAGGAAAUCCCUUCUCUAGGUUUCUUCAAGAUGCUAAAAUAUCCAACUGAAGAAGGCACUUCGGCACAUUCACCUUGAUCUCCUGUUUUUAAUAACUAGAAAAACAUUUGUGUCCACUGUUGACUGAAGAACUACAUCGUGAUUUCACCUCAGUAACGUUAGUGUGCAUUGGGAAGCAAACAAGACGCAUACAUGGACCUCAUUUCAAUAUUUUGGACUUUGGAGAUCACACUGUGCCAUAUGAAUAAUUUUUUUAGCUCUGGAACUUUUUUGUAGGCUUUAUUUUUUUAAUGUGGACAUCUUAUUUCACUUUUGGGGGAAAAUGCAUUGUUUUGUGUAUUUGGGG